rnacentral:rRNA from 1 species
GAAACGGUAGCUAAUACCGCAUGACCUCGAAAGAGCAAAGUGAGGGAUCUUCGGACCUCACGCCAUCGGAUGUGCCCAGAUGGGAUUAGCUAAGUAGGUGAGGUAAUGGCUCACCUAGGCGACGAUCCCUAGACUGGUCUGUAGAGGAUGACCCAGCCAACACUUGUAACUGAAGACACGUUCCAGACUCCUACGGGAGGCAGCAGUGGGGAAUAUUGCACAAUGGGCGCAAGCCUGAUGCAGCCAUGCCGCGUGUUUGAAGAAGGCCUUAGGGUUGUAAAGCACUUUCAGCGAGGAGGAAGGCAUCAUACUUAAUACGUGUGGUGAUUGACGUUACUCGCAGAAGAAGCACCGGCUAACUCCGUGCCAGCAGCCGCGGUAAUACGGAGGGUGCAAGCGUUAAUCGGAAUUACUGGGCGUAAAGCGCACGCAGGCGGUUUGUUAAGUCAGAUGUGAAAUCCCCGCGCUGAACGUGGGAACUGCAUUUGCAACUGGCAAGCUAGAGUCUUGUAGAGGGGGGUA